rnacentral:rRNA from 1 species
UACGGAGGGGGCUAGCGUUGUUCGGAAUUACUGGGCGUAAAGCGCACGUAGGCGGCUUUGUAAGUUAGAGGUGAAAGCCCAGGGCUUAACCCUGGAAUUGCCUUUAAGACUGCAUCGCUAGAAUCGUGGAGAGGUGAGUGGAAUUCCGAGUGUAGAGGUGAAAUUCGUAGAUAUUCGGAAGAACACCAGUGGCGAAGGCGACUCACUGGACACGUAUUGACGCUGAGGUGCGAAAGCGUGGGAAGCAAACAGG